GAUGAACGCUGGCGGCGUGCCUAAUACAUGCAAGUCGAGCGAACAGACGAGGAGCUUGCUCCUCUGACGUUAGCGGCGGACGGGUGAGUAACACGUGGAUAACCUACCUCAAAGACUGGGAUACCUUCGGGACACCGGAGCUAAUACCGGAUAAUAUAUUGAUCCGCAUGGUUCAAUAGAGAAAGACGGUUUUGCUGUCACUUAUAGAUGGAUCCGCGCCGCAUUAGCUAGUUGGUAAGGUAACGGCUUACCAAGGCAACGAUGCGUAGCCGACCUGAGAGGGUGAUCGGCCACACUGGAGCUGAGACACGGUCCUGACUCCUACGGGAGGCAGCAGUAGGGAAUCGUCCGCAAUGGGCGAAAUCCUGACGGAUCAACGCCGCGUGAGUGAUGAAGGUCUUCGGAUCGUAUAACUCUGUUAUUAGUGAAGAACAAAUGUGUAAGGAACGAUGCACGUCGUGACGGUACCUAAUCAGAAAGCCACGGCUAACUACGUG
rnacentral:rRNA from 1 species